GCUGUCUUAGCUACACGAGCGGAAUGCACAGUCCCCGACCGUGUUAGUUCUGGAGUGGCUUAUGGGAUGCGGACCCCUCCUUGUCCGCCCCUCCUUAACCAUACCAGGUCCAUUUCUAAUGGCAUUGCUUUUCCCCUACAUUAUUUUCAAUAGGAUAUUUUGGUUCUUCUGUGGAAUACUAUGGUAAAAAUGAAAAGAAAAUUUUUCUUAUUCCAGUAAGGACAAAUGGGGACAAGUCAGGAGCCUCAGAAAAUCUCAAUAGGAGAGAAACUCCAGUUUUCAAUUCCUGGAUGCCUAUCUGAGAUUUCAGCUCUUGCCUCACAUAGUUACAAGGAGGAAUGCUUUGUGGGGACACCAAUCUGAGCUAAGGCCUCUUGGAAGCACAUGGCCCGAUGGAGGAGGGACUGCGAGCUGCGGCUGGGAAUUGCUGACAUGAAUUACUGCUGCGUAUUCCAAAAGUCCGCUGAACCAAUGGGGAGCCAGGCGCUGGAGAGAGGGUCUGUCGUCUUCCUCACAACGUUUCUAAAUCUACAGAUGGCGAUGAGGAAGUGGUGCGCUUAUUUUUCAUAUUUUCUGAUAAGGUGCCAACAGAACUGACUUGCCAUUUUAAUGUAUGUCAUCUUUCCUGCAGUCACUGAGUGGCCUCGGACGGCUGUGGUUGAUCACUGGGGGCGAGCUGGACCCUCGCCCUUGAACAAAGUGCAGGGCCAGCGUCCUGGAGCCCGACUUCCUUACAUUAACCACCCUUGGGAGGGCUGACCCCAGGGCAGUGGAGGGUUCUGCAGCACCCUUCUGAGGUGGGGAGGCGCUGGCACCCAGCCAGCUUCCAAGGUGGACCCCUGCUGGAGGGAUGGAGAACAGGAAAGAAGAGGCUUGGAACAGACAGAAUUCUCACCCCGAGGCACACAGGCGAACCUGGCUUGCAUCCGUAGAACUCCCUGCCAAUCAGAGCUUGACUCCCCUCUCUUCUCCACCAAUCAAAGCUUGCACCACCUCCCCACCAGUUAAGGCCUUGCACACUGCAAGCUCCCCUACCAAUCAGAGACAGGCUCCCCUCUCCUCUCCACCAGUCAGGGCUUGUGCUACCUCAAACUCAAUUCCUCUGCCAAUCGGAGCCAAGCUACCCACAGCUGCAGAUAAAGAAAGAAUGGCCUUGUCAUCGAAGCCUGCAUGCAUUCACUGCGUCCUCCAGCUUGGUCGUAAAUCUCUUCGUGGAAACCUGGGCCUGCGGGUCUUUGUUGCUGUGUUCUUGUUGUUUAGAGGAGAGAGGAGGAGAAGAGUGAAGAGAGGGGAGAGCAGGGCAGGAUUAAUGGAGCGCCCUCCACACAGCUGACCACUUCAUUGGUCAAUAAGGGUCUGAAACAUCACAGGAAUAAACUGAAAACAUGCGGCUUUAACUCAGAUGUUCGUGGGACUCCUGACAUUGCAGUGUGGAAAUGAGUUCCCCAUUCCAGCUCUGUCGCUUCUGCCUCCUACACCACAUCUCCCAGAGUCACCUCUUCCAGUGCACACCACCGAGGAUGCGUUCCUCUGCCGAGCCCAGGUCAGUAAGUCGAGUUGCCCUCAUGUGACAAUAGAUGACAUGGAUUUUGUGAGAGCUUUGCAAGGCAAUUCUGGAAUGAGACCCAGUGAGCCCACCACAACUCUGGUAUAUAGGACCUACCAUCUGCAGUGAAUACUGGACUAGACUGUGUGUCCCCAGCACCUAGCCUGGGCUACUUCAAUUCAUGUUGGUUGAAUGAAUAAAUGAUUCAAUAAAUAUAUGCCUGUGUGCACCUGGC
ensembl:lncRNA